AUUAAAUCCCACACCACAGGGACGGCCCCUCUCUCUCUGCUGGAUCCGUCUAAUGCCUGCGUUCCACCGCUGUGGGUCCAUCUCCCACGGGAUCUGGACGACACACAGCUCAGGAUGUCCUGCUGGCAGUGAUUCUUCCUCAGGGUAAAGAGAUGAAAGCUCCUCCCAGCCCUCCGUGCCCGUGCUCGCCACCAUGGCAACCGAAGCCAGGCAAG